AUUGUAAAAUUACCUCUUACGCUGUCAUCUUGGAUAACUUGAUUAACACUAGCACAGAUGCGGACUUUCUCAUUCAGAAAGAAAUUAUAGUUACACAAUUGAGCAAGGAGGACAUAGCCUGUCUCUUCAAUAGGCUUUACAGUGACACUGUAGUUGGCUAUUUCUGUUACGCGGAACUCACCAAGAAUGUGAAUGCAUAUUAUCAGGAUCGCUGGCACAGAUGGCAAACAAUUCUCAGACGUGAUUAUUUCAGCAAUCCAUGGUCAAUCUUUUCGCUUUCUGCCGCGCUCUUGAUCCUAGACUGCAGUUUUACUGCAAAGUAUGAAAUUCAUCAUCAGUUUCACCAAAAGUUGUGGAAAUCUCUUCAUCUACUUAUAAUGUCAAACCAGACUCAUUUGAUGUUGAAGCUUUAUUAUCCAGCAGAAUAGAUAGCUCCUACGCUACGUCUUCACCUACAUGAAAGAAUUCUGACGUUUUGAUACAACUCGUUAGGCAACGGAUGGCAACACCACCAAUUGUUAAGCCAAAAGAAAUUUUAGCUGAUCAUGGCGUUCGCAACAAUUAACUAUUGGCACCAGCAUACAUAGUGCAAAAUUAAAAAAUAGAAGGAGCUGAUCAUUGUUUUUUGGACUUCAUAAAGGCAGCUCUGCAGCAGGACAAGGCUGCUUCCAAAUAGAUCCUCCAUGCCAAUCAGCAUAAUAAAUUUCUGAAGUGUUUUACCCGUUGGUGUGUCGGUUGGGUGGUUCCUUACCUUGAUGUAGUUGGAUACAUAUACAUAAAUUCAUAUGCUUUGCCAUGGUGAAUUCUGAGAAAACUGUUCGAUGGUUUAACCUUUUCCUUUGCCAAAUGUC